AGCCACAUCACAUUGAAACAUCAGUUCCCAUAUGAUCACCAAAGUUAAGCAACAUCGAGCUUGGUCAGUACCUAGUUUAGUGACUGCUUGGGGAUACCAGGUGCUGUAA